GUCAUGGUGGCUCAGUGGUUAGAGUGCCCGCCCGUUAAACGGGAGGUCUUGGGUUCGAACCUCGGCCAAGUCA
rnacentral:tRNA from 1 species